rnacentral:rRNA from 1 species
AGUGAACGCUGGCGGCAGGCCUAAUACAUGCAAGUCGAACGGCAGCACAGCAGAGCUUGCUCUGUGGGUGGCGAGUGGCGGACGGGUGAGGAAUACAUGGGAAUCUGCCCAGUCGUGGGGGAUAACGUAUGGAAACGUACGCUAAUACCGCAUGCGCCCUAAGGGGGAAAGCCGGGGACCGCAAGGCCUGGCGCGAUUGGAUGAGCCCAUGUUCGAUUAGCUAGUUGGCGGGGUAAAGGCCCACCAAGGCGACGAUCGAUAGCUGGUCUGAGAGGAUGAUCAGCCACACUGGAACUGAGACACGGUCCAGACUCCUACGGGAGGCAGCAGUAGGGAAUAUUGGACAAUGGGGGCAACCCUGAUCCAGCCAUGCCGCGUGAGUGAAGAAGGCCCUCGGGUUGUAAAGCUCUUUUGUCCGGAAAGAAAAGCAAUCGGUUAAUACCCGGUUGUUCUGAC